AACUGGGGAUGGAGCCCACAACCCGGGCAUGUGCCCUGACCUGACUGGGAAUCACACGGUCACCUCCUGGUUCCUAGGUCACCACUCAAGCACUGAGCCACACCAGCCGGCAACACUGUGCUCAUUUUAAAUGGACAACAUCGGGAUUUGUUAUCUUGUGAAAUGAUCAUUUUCAAAGACCUGUUUUCCAUCACCACCUUUCCAGGGCCGUCUGCCAGGCUGGCUUUCCACAAUUCCCUGUGACUUUGCUGCCAGGCCAGUGGAUGGCCUUUCACAGGGAGGAGCCUUCAACUAGAGGCGAGGCGGUCACACUGCUCAUGAACACCGAGUGUGCUCCAAGACCUUUCGGGGCUAGAAGCCAGUUUUCUAGGCGGCUGCCCUCGGAUGCCAACAAGUGUGUUUUCUUAUCCUAAUUGUGGAGGAAGACACCCAGAGGAGGGAAGAGGUUUGCCCAGCUUCCGCUCCGGAAUCCGUGAUGAGGUGUCCUGAUGCCCAGGCCCUCAUCUGCUGGUCUCUGGACACAUAUGGUCACUAUACUCACUUGUUUUGCCCGAAGGGCUCCAACACCAGCGAGGUGAGGUGCUUGGGAAAAUCUCUGAUUUUCUUCUUUAAUUCUUUCUCUCUGGUGCUCCUGGCAGUGACAGGAAAACAAAUUCAUUUGCCAGCAUCGAUAUUUUCUUCAUUUGCUUUGACAAGAGGACAGUAAACUGUCUCCUGGGGAAGAGCUGACAGUUGCUGCCUGUAAACCCGAGACAAAGGUGUCACCAGGGUAACCUCCUUGCAGAGGGGCCUGAGCUGCUGUGAGGCGUGGGGAGGAGGAGUGGCGAGCGGCGGGGAGGAUGUUUUCUUUACACGCUGGCCAUGGCCAUCUGGUAGCGACUGCCUGCCAUUGUCCCACCCACAGGAAAAUUAUGUCUUAUGUUAGGAAGUAUCAGUGAAGAACUCCCAUUUCAGCGUGAUGUCGGUGCACACGUACUUUGUCUGUGACCUUUCCCCCAGCUCACCUGUGUGCCUCACCUGUGCGACUGUGGAGUCCUCCGAGGGGACAGGUCUUGCCCCAUGUGCAUCUCCCUUCCUGGAAGAGAGCUCAGGACGUAACAGGUGCUCAGCAGAUGCUGGUUCCAUAAGCGAAUUAAUGGAUGUUCUGAAGGUUUCAUAGGUGGCCCAAAGGGAUAGAUAGUUUCUUAGGACCCAAAACUAAUAGGAACAAGAAUUCAGAAGUGGUUGUCUCAGGUGAAAUGUCCAAUAAUGUGGGACAUUUCUAACUUCCAUGAAAGAAUUCUGAUGUGGUCCAUGUACCUCGGAAUAAUAUCUAUGUUAUACUAGUAAGAGGAAGCCACUUCUCUUUUGGCGAGUGGGAUUGUAUGGACUUUGGUACCAUUACAGCAGAAUGGUUUAUAUAUUGGGAGAAUAUAUACCCCUGCUUUUCCUUUAAAGGGUGUUACUUAGGCUAAUGAAAAUCUCAGUCUAGUACAGUGGUUCUCAACCUGUGGGUAGCGACCCCUUUGGUGGUUGAACGACCCUUUCACAGGGGUCGCCUAAGACCAUCUUGCAUAUCAGAUAUUUAAAUUAUGAUUCAUAACAGUAGCAACAUUACAGUUAUGAAGUAGCAACGAAAAUAAUUUUAUGGUUGGGUCACAACAUGAGGAACUGUAUUUAAAGGGCCAGAAGGUUGAGAACCACUGGUCUAGUAGGUAGGACUAAGAAUGGGGAUUCAGUAUUGAGUAAAUGUUGAGAAAAGAGUUGAGGGAAGGUGCCAUGAGGAAUAAUUGUGAGGUUGAAUCAAUCAAAGCUACUCUGUUUAAUUCCAAUCUGAACAAUCAAUGUGUUAAGUCAUCUCAACAAUUUAUUCAAAUCAAUACUCAUACAAAUAAGGUUGAGUUCACAUACGUAGACCGGUUCCAUUCAGGGGGUUUCAUAUAUGCGCUAUGGUCAGAGUUGGGCAGAUAGAGGAGAUAUUUUGCCUUCCUCAGCACCUUUAUCUUGAACAGGACUGCAGGUAUGUGGCUGAUGUCCAAAUGUCAAAGUGAAACUCUCUUGCCUGUGGCCAUUUAGUUCCUAAAUUGUAAGAGAAACUGUUAUUUUUUUUUUUAUUGAUGCUUAAAACAGCCCUGACAGCUUAAAUACUCAAUAAGCCUUAUCUAGUAUCAACUGUGCAUGUGUUCACGUCAUUGGCUAAACUAAUAUUUACUGCUCACUUCUCUUAGCACGGCACCUGUAUUGACUUAUUUCAUUCUUGAAACACUGUGAAGAAGUUAUUGUCAUUCUCUCAUUUUAAGAUAAGGAAGUGGAAGCGCGCGAGGGCGGUUGAUCACACACCUCCUGAGUGACCAAGCCAGAGUGCCCAGCAGGUCCCAAAUUUCAUGGCAAGUGUCUUAAGAGGGACAAGAGCGGCUAUGUGCAGAUGGAGUCAGAUAUUGAAGUGAUGCAGUUACAAGCCAAGGAACUGCUGGAGCCACCAGAAGCUGGAAGGAGCCAAGAAGGGUUGUUCCCUAGAGCCUUUGGAGAGAGCACCUUGAUUUCAGACUUCUGGCCUCCAGGACUGUGAGAGAGUGUUUGUUGUAAGCCACCCAGUGUGUGCUGAUUUGUUAUGGCAGCCCCAGGAAACUGAUACAGUGUUGUUUUGCAUCUUUCAAGCUUCUAUGAUAGUAACUUGGUGUACAAAACAUCCUACAAUCCGCUUUUUCUCCCUGUUUGACAUCUAUUCAGGAUGCUAUGCGCAUUUUAAUUUUAUUCAUUUUCUUUGCUCUGUAGAGUUCCACUGUAUGACUUACUAUCUAGCUGUGUGAUAUUGGCCUGACUUCUCCUGUGUCUCAAUCCCCUCACCUAGAAAAUGGAAAAAAGUUGUCACCAUAAAGAGUGGAGUUACCAAAAAUCAGAAAAGCCUACCUACUUCAUGGGGUUGUUUUGAGAAAUAAAUGUGGUCAUAUUUGUAAAGUCUUUCCAGUAGAAUACCUUGUAAACAUAGGAAUUGCUCACAUGUUAAUUAAAGAAUACAUUUAUUCGUUCAAUUGCUGAAGGACUUGUAGGACAAUUCAACUUUGUCAUUGUUCUCAACGAAGGGGCUUUGACUAUUCCUGUACGUGGCUCUUGGUUCACAGGUGGAAGAGUUUCUCAGUGGUCCAUACCUAGACAUGGAAUUGUUGAGUCUUGGGUAGGCACACCUUUCAUUUUUCUGGAUCUUGCCCAAUUCUCCUUUAGAGUAUUUGUAACAAUUUAGCUUCCCACCAGCUAUAAAUGAACUCGUUUUUCCAUGUCUUUGUCAACUCUUGUUAUUAUCAGAGUGUAAAAUUUUUGCUUGUGAAAUUGUUUAAUUUCAUUCAAUGAUUUACUUUUUGUUUACUUGUUACUUUUCAGAUUACUAGUAAGAUUGAGCAUCUUGUGACAUGUUUGCUGACUAUUUCUGCUGCUUCUGUGAACUGCAUGUUCAUGUCCUCUGUCUCUCUUUCUAUCAGGUAGUUUACCUUUUUGAAAAUGUAUUUAUCACUUUCUGUGGAUGCUGGAUGCUUGCACUUUCUUUGUAUGAAGUAUUGCAAGUAUUGUUUACCAGUUUGUGUCUUAUCUCUUCACUUUGUUUAUGGUGUCUUUUGUUUAAUAAAACUUAAAAAUGUCAA